UACGUAGGUCCCGAGCGUUGUCCGGAUUUAUUGGGCGUAAAGCGAGCGCAGGUGGUUUAUUAAGUCUGGUGUAAAAGGCAGUGGCUCAACCAUUGUAUGCAUUGGAAACUGGUAGACUUGAGUGCAGGAGAGGAGAAUGGAAUUCCUAGUGUAGCGGUGAAAUGCGUAGAGAUUAGGAAGAACACCAGUGGCGAAGGCGAUUCUCUGGACUGUAACUGACGCUGAGGCUCGAAAGCGUGGGGAGCAAACAGG
rnacentral:rRNA from 1 species